rnacentral:rRNA from 1 species
GUCUUUUCGAAGUUAAUGAGAAGUCAGGCCUGCUCAGUGAGUUUAAAUAGCCGCGGUAUUUUGACUGUGCUAAGGUAGCAUAAUCAAUAGUCUGUUAAAUGCAGUCUGGAAUGAAGGGUUUGACGGGGGGUAGCUUUCUUUAAUUUAUAGUUGAAUUUUAAUUGUUAGUUAAAAUGCUGACUUGAACAAGGGGGACGAGAAGACCCUAUAGAGCUUUAUACGUUUAGUUUUUAGUGGUUUUAAUGGUAUUUUGUUGGGGCGACAUAAAAUUAAAACAUUUAUUAAUGUUCUUUGGUAGGAGGUGUUUGAUCCACUAAUAGUGAUUAUAGACUAAGUUACCUUAGGGAUAACAGCGUAAUUUUGCUUUAGAGUUCCUAUCGACAGCAGGGUUUGCGACCUCGAUGUUGGAUUAGAAGUCCCUUAAGGCGCAGAGGUUUAUAAGGGUAGUCUGUUCGACUAUUAAAUUUCUACAUGAUCU